UCACUGUAGAGUACUGAGUAGGGCUCCCUGUGUCAUCAGUAGGUGGUAGGUCCUUGUUGAUGAUCACUCUUAAAUACAGCUGAGUGGACACUGGAAUUUUUUUUUUAAUACUAUAAAACAUUUAACAGAGAAAAACACUAGGUGAAAAGUGCGGCCAAAAAAUACCCUGCACCGCCCCCAGCCGCAGACGUUUCUUUGCAGGAGGAUGGCUCCACACACAAGGGCAGCGUCAGGAGCAGUGUCCGCCAGGCCCCGCCAGGCGAGCCAGAACUGGGAGGUGAGCAGAUUGUCCACCAGGCCCCGCCAGGCCAAAGAGGAGAGAAUAGUUGAGCUGGAAACGGAGAACGCUCUUCUUCACCUGAAACUGGCGGAGAUUUGUCCUUCGCUUUGACACAUGGGGAACGCUGGCGGAUCCUGCUUUGCUUAUUCCUACGUGACUGGCUGUGGCCACCUUUGGUCAGCUGGAAAGUGGCCCCCAGAGAUGUCCAUUCCCUCCUAAUUCUGGAUGCUGUGGACGUGACCUUGACCAGGGAUAAGACCUCUGCAGAC
ensembl:lncRNA